UUGGCAUCAGUUAACUUCUAGAGCCACAAAAACUUUUUGGGGAUUCCCUCAACAAAGAGACAUUUCUAAGACAAAGGUUCAUAGUAAACCGAAACCACAGUUCCCACUCAGCUACUGUCCAUCCUGGUGUAUAGUUCGAACAACUGUUAGCUGACUGUUGGACAGUUACUCCUCCUAAACGUUUUUAGGAUGUUAAUAAGAUGUUUGCCUGCGUAUAUACCUCCCUUAAAGCUCCUUCAGCUUGCCAUUUCAGCGGAGCGAGGACCUCUGCCGCUGGUUUGGAGGGUUAAGGAGAGUCCUGCUGGGAGGCUGGGACAAGCUUACGAAUGCUACCCAGUAAGCUACAAGGUAAAACCAGGGCCGGAGGAGAAUUACAAAGUGGGCAGUUCAGCCACGCGACAGGCUUCAUUUGAUUGGAGACAGUGGGAAAACCAGUCCAGGCGACAAGGGCAGAAAUUCCCCAAGGAAAUAGGAAAUUUUAACAUUCACAUCUAUUGACUCACUUCAUCCUCAAGGGAGGAAACUUGGAAGCCAAAGAAAAGCAUAAAGAAAAAACAAAAUCCUCUGCUACCCAGAAAUAACCUAUCAAUAAUUUGUAUUUUUUGGUCUUUAAAAAAAAAUAAAGCUGGAAUAUGAUAUAUAAU
rnacentral:lncRNA from 1 species